rnacentral:lncRNA from 1 species
AAAUGAACCAUUCACACAAAUAUGAAGUAUAGCUAAUUGUAAACACAAUUCAAAUAAUAAGUAUUUACAUUGAAUUAUGCAAUCGAACAAAUUUAUUAUGUCUGCACUAAGAUCAACAAUAAUGCAAAAUUAAAUUUUUUACUAAACACAAUUUAACACAAUUGCAUAAUUGAUUACGUGUGAAAAAAAGAAUGUGCACUUCUUUGAGCUAUGUUUUUCGGCACCACUUUUGAAAAGUUUGAAUCUUUAAACAAGAUUCUAAGAGCUAAAAAGAUGUAAAAUAUUUCCUUCAAAGAGAUGAAAUUUUCUUGGCUAGCAAAACAAAUUGAAUUGGGUAAAUUUGCAUGAAAAUAAAGAGACUACCAAAUGAGGACACUGUAAUAUAUAGAGGUUCAACCACAUCAUCCUUGCUAGUGGUCUCAUCUUGUCCCACCAUCAUGGAAGAUGAAGUUUCUUUAUUGACAUACAAAGUUUCUUCUAUUAUUGUCUUUAACCUAUCUUUGUAAACAAGAACCCCCAGUUUUUAUCCCACAAAAAUUGGUCGCAAAUCUUCAUUUUUGGCAACUUCAACAAACUUGAUUCGUGGACGUAAUGAUAUGAGCUUAAAAGGUUCAACCGAACUAUCCUAACUAUUUUUCAGCAAAAUGAAGUCCUCUUCAAAAGCACCAAAUAUCCACCCUCACCUCCAAAACAGGGAUUUAUGGACACUAUAAACAUGGAGCGUGAAUUUUCAACAUCAUUGUUCAAUCAUACUAAGCUUUUCUUCAAAUUAAGAUCUUUUUUAAGACACAUGCACUUAGUUUUUUUUUUUUUGUCAGGUAGCCUAGCGGCUAGACAAAUUCACUUUAAAGGUG